rnacentral:lncRNA from 1 species
UCUUACUUACUCUGCCAUACACUUCGUGCACUUUAUUGGGGAUUGCGAUAACAAUAUGGUACAGAGGAUGUGAUCCAGGGCUGUCAGGUGCCAUAAAGAGGAUUGACCAGAUUCUACCGUACUACAUUAAUACUGAACUUGUAAAUAUACCCGGAUUCGCAGGACUCUUCUUGGCUGGUGUUGUAAGCGCUGCAACAAGCACAAUAUCAUCCGCGAUAAAUUCGCAAGCAGCAAUCCUCUACAUCGAC